rnacentral:rRNA from 1 species
AGUGAACGCUGGCGGUAGGCCUAACACAUGCAAGUCGAACGGCAGCACAGUAAGAGCUUGCUCUUACGGGUGGCGAGUGGCGGACGGGUGAGGAAUACAUCGGAAUCUACUUUUUCGUGGGGGAUAACGUAGGGAAACUUACGCUAAUACCGCAUACGACCUACGGGUGAAAACAGGGGAUCUUCGGACCUUGCGCGAUUGAAUGAGCCGAUGUCGGAUUAGCUAGUUGGCGGGGUAAAGGCCCACCAAGGCGACGAUCCGUAGCUGGUCUGAGAGGAUGAUCAGCCACACUGGAACUGGGACACGGUCCAGACUCCUACGGGAGGCAGCAGUGGGGAAUAUUGGACAAUGGGCGCAAGCCUGAUCCAGCCAUACCGCGUGGGUGAAGAAGGCCUUCGGGUUGUAAAGCCCUUUUGUUGGGAAAGAAAAGCAGCAGGUUAAUACCCCGCUGUUCUGACGGUACCCAAAGAAUAAGCACCGGCUAACUUCGUG